rnacentral:rRNA from 1 species
UACACUCCUACGGGAGGCAGCAGUGGGGAAUUUUGGACAAUGGGCGAAAGCCUGAUCCAGCAAUGCCGCGUGUGUGAAGAAGGCCUUCGGGUUGUAAAGCACUUUUGUCCGGAAAGAAAUCCUUGGCUCUAAUACAGUCGGGGGAUGACGGUACCGGAAGAAUAAGCACCGGCUAACUACGUGCCAGCAGCCGCGGUAAUACGUAGGGUGCGAGCGUUAAUCGGAAUUACUGGGCGUAAAGCGUGCGCAGGCGGUUUGCUAAGACCGAUGUGAAAUCCCCGGGCUCAACCUGGGAACUGCAUUGGUGACUGGCAGGCUAGAGUAUGGCAGAGGGGGGUAGAAUUCCACGUGUAGCAGUGAAAUGCGUAGAGAUGUGGAGGAAUACCGAUGGCGAAGGCAGCCCCCUGGGCCAAUACUGACGCUCAUGCACGAAAGCGUGGGGAGCAAACAGGAUUAGAUACCCGUGUAGUCCCA